rnacentral:rRNA from 1 species
GACGAACGCUGGCGGCGUGCCUAACACAUGCAAGUCAGGGAGAAGGAGGUAGCAAUACUUCCGGAAACCGGCGCACGGGUGAGUAACACGUAGGUAACCUACCCUUGAGCGGGGAACAACAUCGAGAAAUCGGUGCUAAUACCGCAUAAUGCAACGAGACCGCAUGGUUUUGUUGUUAAAGAUCCGCAAGGAUCACUUGAGGAUGGACCUGCGCCCGAUUAGCUAGUUGGCGGAGUAAAAGCCCACCAAGGCAACGAUCGGUAGCCGACCUGAGAGGGUGAUCGGCCACACUGGAACUGAGAUACGGUCCAGACUCCUAC